UACAGAGGAGCCAAGCGUUGUCCGGAAUUAUUGGGCGUAAAGAGCUCGUAGGCGGUUUGUCGCGUCGAAUGUGAAAACCCGGGGCUCAACCCCGGGCCUGCAUUCGAUACGGGCAGACUAGAGUUCGGUAGGGGAGUCUGGAAUUCCUGGUGUAGCGGUGAAAUGCGCAGAUAUCAGGAGGAACACCGGUGGCGAAGGCGGGACUCUGGGCCGAUACUGACGCUGAGGAGCGAAAGCGUGGGGAGCGAACAGG
rnacentral:rRNA from 1 species